UUCCUUUCUCCUGAUUGGAAAUGGAAAGACGGUUUCGGCUGUCACUUACAGAUGGGCCCGCGGUGCAUUAGCUAGUUGGUGGGGUAAUGGCCCACCAAGGCGACGAUGCAUAGCCGACCUGAGAGGGUGAUCGGCCACACUGGGACUGAGACACGGCCCAGACUCCUACGGGAGGCAGCAGUAGGGAAUCUUCCGCAAUGGACGAAAGUCUGACGGAGCAACGCCGCGUGAGCGAUGAAGGCCUUCGGGUCGUAAAGCUCUGUUGUUAGGGAAGAACAAGUACGAGAGUAACUGCUCGUACCUUGACGGUACCUAACCAGAAAGCCCCGGCUAACUACGUGCCAGCAGCCGCGGUAAUACGUAGGGGGCAAGCGUUGUCCGGAAUUAUUGGGCGUAAAGGGCUCGUAGGCGGUUUCUUAAGUCUGAUGUGAAAGCCCACAGCUCA
rnacentral:rRNA from 1 species